rnacentral:rRNA from 1 species
UUCCUAAUGAAAUCAUUUUAGGUAUAACCUGCUCAAUGUAAUAUAAAUAGCCGCAGAAAAUUAACUGUGCUAAGGUAGCAUAAUCAUUAACCCUCUAAUUAGGGGUUAGAAUGAAAGGUUUAACAAUCCAAUUACUUUUUUUAGUAUAUUAAUUAAAUUUUUAUUAAUCGUAAAAAUAUGAUUAUACAAAAAUUAGACGACAAGACCCUAUUAAACUUAACUUAUGUUCAGCUGGGGUAGCUAUUUAAUAAUAAUUUUAAACACAUAUAUUUAAUAUAAAAUCCCAAUCAAAUUGAAUACAACAAGUUACUAUAGGGAUAACAGCGUUAUUCUAUUUUUAAGCUCUUAUUUAAAAUAGAGAUUGCGACCUCGAUGUUGAAUAAUUUUACUUUUUUAUGCAAAAAUAAAAAAAGUAAGACUGUUCGUCUUUCAAAAAAUUACA